CAGAUGUGAAAGACCCGGGGCGUCAACCUCGGAACUGCAUUUGAAACUGGCAGACUAGAGUACUGUAGAGGGGGGUAGGAAUUUCAGGUGUAGCGGUGAAAUGCGUAGAGAUCUGAAGGAAUACCGGUGGCGAAGGCGGCCCCCUGGACAGAUACUGACACUCAGAUGCGAAAGCGUGGGGAGCAAACAGGAUUAGAUACCCUGGGAG
rnacentral:rRNA from 1 species